rnacentral:rRNA from 1 species
GGGGGAUAUUGCACAAUGGAGGAAACUCUGAUGCAGCAACGCCGCGUGAGGGAAGAAGGUCUUCGGAUUGUAAACCUUUGUCCUUGGUGACGAAACAAAUGACGGUAGCCAAGGAGGAAGCUCCGGCGAACUACGUGCCAGCAGCCGCGGAAAUACGUAGGGAGCAAGCGUUGUCCGGAUUUACUGGGUGUAAAGGGUGCGUAGGCGGCUCUGCAAGUCAGGCGUGAAAACUAUGGGCCUAACCCAUAGACUGCGUUUGAAACUGUGGGGCUUGAGUGAAGUAGACGUGGGCGGAAUUCCUGGUGUAGCGGUGAGAUGCGUAGUGAUCGGGAGGAACACCAGUGGCGAAGGCGGCCUACUGGGCUUUAACUGACGCUGAAGCACGAAAGCAUGGGUAGCAAAC